CACAACAUAUGUAUCUACUAUAUACACAUAUACAUACAAAUGUGUGUGUGUUUACUUGGUUUGCACUCAUGUAGAAUGUAUAAAGAAUCAAACAUAUUUGGGGACAAUAACAAUAACCCAUACGAAUCAUAUGAAUCAGAGUGAAACCUCCCGGUUGUGAUUUUGCAUGUCGUGCUUUUCUCCGGAGCAGCAGGGGGCGCUGGCGUCAUCAGGUGAACCCUGGAAGUAGCAGGGGGAGACGGCGGUGUAAACAAGGUUCUGUGGAUCCAACCUGGACCGGAACAGAAGAUGGAGACGUUCAGCAGAAGAACCGUGGACCGGAUCCACUCCUCGGUCCUGCUGGGGGUUGUGGUCCUGUCCUGGUCUUACGUCAUCUACGCCAGCAGGGUAGCAGCUCAUUGGCUGCUGGAGGAGCAGACCGCCGCCCUCCGACAGGACUGAUGGUGCACUGGACCCUCACCAGGUCAACUUGGAAAGACAUGGACAUUCAGGGGAUUUGGGUGAUGAGCAUCAACCCUGAAUGUCUCACACAAGUUGCAGGAGACGGCAAGAGACGAAGACAUAGACGUCAACUGAGAGGGACCAGGAGAUUCCGACCCUGGUGUGGAUGAGCUGUGAACAGAAACACUGAUAUUUCCACAGCAGACGUCACUUCCUGCCUCCUGCAGCUCCACCCAGGCUCCACCCCUCACCUGACGAGUGAGCUGGUCCAUCUCCUGCAGCUUCUGCACAUGAGAAACAGAAACUCCAGAAAAUGUCCAGACACUAUUUUACAGAGUUCGUGUCUGAAAACCACUUAUGUUGAAAAUGUUAUUUUAUAUUACCCACUUUGAAAAUGUAUUUUAUCUUUUAAAAUGUAUUUAAAGAUGACUUAUUGUCAGUUUUUCAACGUCUUCACUGAUUUCUCGGAGAAUGAUUCACUGAUCUUGAUGACAAUAAUCAGAAACGUUUAGAGAACUGAUAUUUCCGCUCUAUUUAUAGCUUUAUUUAAUUGAUUGACUGUUUUUGGAGGAUUGAGCUAGACUGGAAGUUUGUUUCAUUUACAGCUCAUCAGAUUUUUGUGUAGCACUUUGACCUACACCGACCUCACGCUGACACCAUGCACCUUUACAAGCUAAUCAUUCAUGCUAAUCUAACCAUCCUUGUUUUUGUAUCUUCAAUCUUAAAGUCCUCCUCCUGACGAGAGACGGAAAUGUUUCCAGUUCUUCAAAUAAAUAGAAUUUUAUAAAACUGUA